rnacentral:rRNA from 1 species
ACGGAGGGAGCAAACGUUGUUCGGAAUUACUGGGCAUAAAGGGCGCGUAGGCGGCGCGGUAAGUGAGAUGUGAAAUCUUUCGGCUUAACCGGAAAAGCGCAUCUUAGACUGCCGUGCUUGAGUGCGGUAGAGGUGAGUGGAACUCUAGGUGGAGCGGUGAAAUGCGUUGAUAUCUAGAGGAACACCGGAGGCGAAGGCGACUCACUGGGCCGUUUCUGACGCUGAGGCGCGAAAGCUAGGGGAGCAAAAAG